GGUGGUUUGGGGGAGUUGCUUUGGGAUUGCUAUAGCAGGUGCGACUUUAAAAAAAAAAUCACAUGGAACUUUAUCAAGUGCAUUUGGAAACAGUUGGAAAUUAGCCAGGAGGAACAUUCUCCUUCAAUCCCUUAGACAUCCAGUUGUGGGCUUGGAUUAGGCCCCUGAACAGCUGAGUUAGGAGGACACUGACACCUUGUCACACUUUGAAGCUCUUUAUUCCCUCCUCACCCUCCAACAAAAGCACCAGAGAUUGCCCUCCCCUAACUACACACACACACACACACACACACACACACACACACACGUCCAGCUGCCAGAUAUGCCAGUUCUCUUUCAGAGAACACUAGACAGUGAGUCCAGGCAAGUUACCAUGGUUCUCUAUUAUCGCGUCCAGCACAUCAGGGAAUGGAAAUAAGUGUGCACAUGUUCUUAAAGGCCCUUUGGGAAAGAUCAGUGGGGCUGCAUGGGGAACACAAUGGCAGGCUUUGUCACAAAGAAAGGAUUUGGGCUGGCAGGCAGCAACAGUCCUGCUGGACACAGAGUUUUUCUGCAAAGGCAGUGGGGGGAAAACCAUGUGCUGGAUUACACAGCAUCCUCACUGGGAAAAGUAGAGCAUUUUGUGUAAUUAAAAGUCAUCCUGAAGACAUCAGACUCACAUGUCCUAGAAGAGACAGCCUCUUCAGCCUGGAAUGAAGAGGACACUGGAAACAGACAUGCAUAUGAUCCAGCUUCUCAUAUGUCAAGAACAUGAAAAACUGUUUAUGUUCUAUUGUUGUAAGCCAUUGAGUUGUAUAGUUGUUCAUUCCUAGAGCAAAGAUGAAUAAUUUAGAACACAGAACAAAAAGGGUACGUGAUUUGCUCAAGUUUACACAAUUAAGCAGCUAAAUGACAGAAUCAGAAUUGAAUCUCACUUCUUUUAACAUCCAGUCCAGUCUUCUCUUCAUAUUUCAGAACUCCUUAAAUGACCGAUGUAAAUAUCUACACAGAAUACUUUACUGAGAUAUUUAGAACAUCUGAAAAAGCAAUUUACUCCAAGACAAUGGCUUUGACCAAUUAAUUGUUCCUUACAUGCAACUAACAGGCUACUAGCAAUCCAUGAAACUCUCAUUGUGGUCACUAGUGACCAUACCAACCAGGAGCUACCCCUCUUGAUGUGAACUGGGUGGUGUGGAGUUGGGGACUGAGUAAGGUUUGCCCCUUUACAUUUGUUCUUAUUAGCCAGGUCAUCUUCAAGUGCCUGUUAUCUGUGGUAAGAUACUGGAUUCCAGCAACAGCUCCAGUGUAUCAGUAUAGUCUUAUCUUAGGAACAUAUGGACUCUUUCAUACUUGGUUUCCCUAAGUAGGCUUUUAAAAGUGAUGGCAAAUUCUGUCAACAACUCACACCUGUUUUGUGUCCGCUCCAGUAAAAAAAUCUGUCUGGGCACUUCAAGAAGCUCCUUUUACUAUGAGGCCACUUUGUACCCUGUUCCAUUUACUCCUGUCGCCAUUUCCCUCAGGAGGUUUUUCAAAAUGUAUGUCUUCAGUGAGCCCUUCUGGUUAGAACUACAACCUUUUAUCUACUGAUUAUGUUCGUUUUUGGACCGUUAUACCCCAUCUGAAGUAUAUGAUAUAGAUUUUCUAUAUCUAACUCAAUAUUUGUUCUGUAUUCACUUGAUCUGUCAGUCAUAUUAGACUAUAGGAAUUUGAAAGUGGA
rnacentral:lncRNA from 1 species